CUGGGGGAUAACACAGGGAAACUUGUGCUAAUACCGCAUAACAUAAUGAUGUGGCAUCACAUUAUUAUCAAAGGAGAAAUCCGGUAAGAGAUGGGCCUGCGUCCGAUUAGCUAGUUGGCGGUGUAAUGGACCACCAAGGCGACGAUCGGUAGCCGGACUGAGAGGUUGAACGGCCACAUUGGGACUGAGACACGGCCCAGACUCCUACGGGAGGCAGCAGUGGGGAAUAUUGCGCAAUGGGGGAAACCCUGACGCACAACGCCGCGUGAAGGAUGAAGGUUUUCGGAUCGUAAACUUCUUUGAUUGGGGACGAAUAAAUGACGGUACCCAAAAAACAAGCCACGGCUAACUACGUGCCAGCAGCCGCGGUAAUACGUAGGUGGCGAGCGUUGUCCGGAUUUACUGGGUGUAAAGGGCGUGUAGGCGGGAAUGUAAGUCAGAUGUGAAAGCCCAUGGCUCAACUGUGGGACUGCAUCUGAAACUGUGUUUCUUGAGUGCUGGAGAGGAUAGCGGAAUUCCUAGUGUAGCGGUGAAAUGCGUAGAUAUUAGGAGGAACACCAGUGGCGAAGGCGGCUUUCUGGACAGUAACUGACGCUGAGGCGCGAAAGCGUGGGGAAGCAACAGGAUUAGAUACCCUGGUAGUCCACGCUUGUAACGAUGGAUACUAGGUGUAUGAAGGUAUCGACCCUUCUGUGCCGGAGUUAACACAAUAAGUAUCCCACC
rnacentral:rRNA from 1 species